UCGAACGGAAAGGCCCUUCGGGGUACUCGAGUGGCGAACGGGUGAGUAACACGUGGGUGAUCUGCCCUGCACUUUGGGAUAAGCCUGGGAAACUGGGUCUAAUACCGAAUACACCUCGCUGGCCGCAUGGUCUGGUGGGGGAAAGCUUUUGCGGUGUGGGAUGGGCCCGCGGCCUAUCAGCUUGUUGGUGGGGUGAUGGCCUACCAAGGCGACGACGGGUAGCCGGCCUGAGAGGGUGACCGGCCACACUGGGACUGAGAUACGGCCCAGACUCCUACGGGAGGCAGCAGUGGGGAAUAUUGCACAAUGGGCGCAAGCCUGAUGCAGCGACGCCGCGUGGGGGAUGACGGCCUUCGGGUUGUAAACCCCUUUCAGCACAGACGAAGCGCGAGUGACGGUAUGUGCAGAAGAAGGACCGGCCAACUACGUGCCAGCAGCCGCGGUAAUACGUAGGGUCCGAGCGUUGUCCGGAAUUACUGGGCGUAAAGAGCUCGUAGGUGGUUUGUCGCGUUGUUCGUGAAAACUCACAGCUCAACUGUGGGCGUGCGGGCGAUACGGGCAGACUAGAGUACUGCAGGGGAGACUGGAAUUCCUGGUGUAGCGGUGGAAUGCGCAGAUAUCAGGAGGAACACCGGUGGCGAAGGCGGGUCUCUGGGCAGUAACUGACGCUGAGGAGCGAAAGCGUGGGGAGCGAACAGGAUUAGAUACCCUGGUAGUCCACGCCGUAAACGGUGGGUACUAGGUGUGGGUUUCCUUCCUUGGGAUCCGUGCCGUAGCUAACGCAUUAAGUA
rnacentral:rRNA from 1 species